CAGCUGUUGGACCAUACAAGUUAUUGGAUUCCUCUUUUCGAACACUGCAGGGGUCACGGUGGUUUCUGAUGAGGUCAUUGAUGCAUAUCUGCACCGUGUUAUUGACAGACGAAAGAUGAAGUUCCCAGUUGAAGACGUGGCUGUGCCCUGUGAACUUUGGUACACACUGGAUUCUUGUGGUAUGUGUUCAUUUUGUUAUUAAUUUGCAUAAUUUGUUGUGAAGCAGUUUCUUGCACAAAGUGUUUUUUCUAAAUAAGUUUUCAGUGGCACAAACAAUUGUAAUUUUUAAUUUAACCUUUUCUUUAGAUUGUCAACAUUUCUGCACAGAAAAUACUGCUCAUAGACCCCAUGGGAAUGAAGGUGUUUAUGACAGGAAAAUUCUGCGCAACUGGAGGUAUGUAUGAUACUGAGGUGUUAUUCUUAGAUUAAAAAAAAAAAAAUCUUGUUUCAUUACAAACACUUUUGUUCAACUAGGAAUUUUCUGAGGAUGAGAGGGCAUGAAGACACCAUGGAGUGGCAGUUACAGACUAUGCAACACAACAAGCAACAGGAUUCCUGCAGUUGUGGAGUUUUACUGUUAAAGGUAACCCUUAUUCAAAUGAUUCAGUUUCUUGUUAGCUAGAAUUAAGACUUUAAGUGAAUUUAAGUGAAGUGAAAGUUAUUUCGGUCAACAACAACAAAGAUGAUCAUUUUACAUAGAAGUACUUAAUCAUACAGUAACUGAAAAAGGAAUAGGCUGAAGCCUUGUGGCUUAUAAUUAUCCUAUCCUUUACCUAAUUAAGACUUUACAUUCUAAUUAUGAUCAAUCUCACAGUUUGCAGAACACUACCUUGAUUUUGGAGAGGUCAGUGAGGUGUCAACCACUACAGAGCCAGUUGUGCUGGAGCGGAUGCAGAUAGCUUGCACCCUACUUGAAAAUCGAGGUAAGUCCAGUAAAGUCCUUAUCACGUUAGUGCGUACUUCCAAUUUAAAUAGUGCUUUUCAAACAGCACAGUACAAAUAGUGCUCUUCAAACACUUUCAGAUAAGACCCUUCUCAAAGUCUAAUUUAGACUAAUUUUCCAGGAAGUAUAUUUGGAAAAAAUGUACUAUUAUUUUUUAAUUAUUCAAUAAAUAAUGUUUGAUUAAAACC